rnacentral:rRNA from 1 species
GACGAACGCUGGCGGCGUGCUUAACACAUGCAAGUCGAACGGAAAGGCCCUGCUUUUGUGGGGUGCUCGAGUGGCGAACGGGUGAGUAACACGUGAGUAACCUGCCCUUGACUUUGGGAUAACUUCAGGAAACUGGGGCUAAUACCGGAUAGGAGCUCCUGCUGCAUGGUGGGGGUUGGAAAGUUUCGGCGGUUGGGGAUGGACUCGCGGCUUAUCAGCUUGUUGGUGGGGUAGUGGCUUACCAAGGCUUUGACGGGUAGCCGGCCUGAGAGGGUGACCGGCCACAAUGGGACUGAGAUACGGCCCAGACUCCUACGGGAGGCAGCAGUGGAGAAUAUUGCACAAUGGGCGGAAGCCUGAUGCGGCAGCGCCGCGUGCGGGAUGACGGCCUUCGGGUUGUAAACCGCUUUCGCCUGUGACGAAGCGUGAGUGACGGUAAUGGGUAAAGAAGCACCGGCUAACUACGUG